CUGACCUGCCCACUGAAUAUUGUUUGAAGGGCCGCAGUAUUUUGACUGUGCAAAGGUAGCAUAAUCAUUAGUCUUUUAAUUGAAGGCUGGUAUGAAUGGUUGGAUGAGAUACAAGCUGUGUCAUAAAAAUUAAUAUUUGAAUUUACCUUUUUAGUCAAAAGGCUAAAAUAAUCUUAAAAGACGAGAAGACCCCGUAGAGCUUUAUAUAAUUAAUAUUUAAAUUAUUAAGAUUUUUAAAAUUUAAUUAUUAAAUUAUAUUUUGUUGGGGUGACAAUAAAAUUAAUAAAACUUUUAUUUUUAAUUAACAUUGAUUUAUGAGUAAAUGAUCCAGUUUUAUUGAUUAUAAAUUUAAGUUACCUUGGGGAUAACAGCGUAAUUUUUUUUGAGAGUUCUUAUCGACAAAAAAGAUUGCGACCUCGAUGUUGGAUUAAGAGUAAUUUUGGGUGUAGAAGUUCAAAGUNUUAAGUCUGUUCGACUUUUAAAUUCUU
rnacentral:rRNA from 1 species